GGCAGCUCGCUCACCCAUAACAUUGUGUUGGUAGUGGUAUGUACUUUUUAAAUAACCAUAACUUGUUCAAUUUUCAACCGAUUUUUAAACGGAUUGUUUUGUUAUAAACGUCAGAGAUGUAGUUAUGACACUGCAUACUUAUGAAUAAUUAUGUUAUUUUCUUAAAAAUAUCACAAAAGCAUCCCGAAUUAUAACCACGUUAAUAACGUUUGUAAGAAACCAAACCAUUUGUAAAUCCGUUGAAAAUUGAGCAAGUUAUGGUUAUUUAAAAAGUACAUAUCACUACCAACACAAUGGUAUGGGUGAGCGAGCUGCCUGGGGCAAGAUGGCCGCCAUGUGCGGACGUUCGACUCCGUUGGACGAGACAUCUAGCCUUUAUAUAUAUCUAUGGUUGUGGCUGCGUAUGGAUCUUCCACCCGCUACUGAGGCUCAUGACGGUGUACUAAAGUAACACUGGAGUUUCUGGAGCCGCCAGAGUGCUUCACGUCUUUGGUCUUCUGUCAGAUGCUCAGGAAGAGAGGGUGCUGACUCCAUGGGAGAGUGGGUGGCUAACAGGAAGAAGAGCCAGAUCACGUUAGAUAUCACACAAUGAAAUGCCCUUACAUCUAAUUUCCUUCCAGGAAAGUACAUUUGAUCUCACCCAGGAAAGUCCCCAGUGCACAAUCAAAUCAUCUUUACUCUUUAUCAGUCCUCUGUGGUAAAAACUAUAAAACAUUAAUGGUCGGUUUUACCUCUUUCUUUCUCAGAGAGCCAUCACAGAAUGUGGCUAGUAAAGCUAUUUGAUUUAUGAAAUAUGUUCUCUAUUGUUGCGUGGAAAACAAAACAAAAAAACAAAUAUUAGUAAACAUGUUGUGUGGUAAUGGACCAAGACUUGUCAUGAUUUAGAACCCGUUUAGCCACUAAUGUGAUUAUGGUUUCUCUGGAUUAUGUGCUUUUCUAAAUUACAAGAUGCAGAAAUACAAACAGGAGAAGAGUUUGCAGAUUUUGUUACAAUGGUGGAUUUCGUCUCAACCCAUAUGGAAAAAGUCUGUCCAAUUAUUAUAUGUUCUUUUUUAUAUAUUAUAUAUGAUAACAGUGUGUUAACACACAUAACUACAGCCCAUUUUAUACACAGUAACAUGCAAAAAAUAUAUGUUUCACAUGUGUGAUCCAGCUUGAAUGUUGAAGGACAUUAUGACAUUUUUUUUUGUCUAAAAUGUAUAUGCAAGCUCUUUACCACAGAUUGAUCAGGCAAGUAUUGUACAUGACAAGUGUGAUUCCUAGCUCAGUACCAUGUGGUCUCUCUUAUCCUCAUCCAUGCAUUCACAUCACCCUUCUACUUAAAGGUACAGUCCUUAAUUGAUUGAUUUUGGGGAAAGGUUGUUGCUAAUUGAGUUCAGUAGCCAAUCAAAUUACACCCCUCCCUUCAGUGCUCCUGAAGCAAUGUUGUUGAUUGGCUCAAUUAAAGAAUUGUUAAUUGUAUUGUUUCCCAUUUACAGAGCCAGGACUGUCUACAAAAACCAAAGUUUUUUUUGAGCGCACACACGCACAACACAUAGCUAUAGUGAGGACAGUGAGGAGAAAUGAGCUCAAUUUGACAAACAGCGUAUUGGACUGAUGGGGAGCAGAAAUCAACGCUCUGGUGGCACCUCCAUGUUGAAAUCAUCCAAGGUAAUCCCUCGCUAGACUUUUAUCUUCGCAGAGGGGUUGAUCACCUGGGCCAGCUGGACCUCAUUAAUAUAUUUCACAAGGAUGCUUAUUACCCUGUGGCCGAAGUGGAAAGAAGUUUGUGUGGUUUUCCCCCCCUGCGUUCUUGCUUUCACCUUUGACCCCAUUUAAUGAUAUACAAGAUAAAUAUACAAGAUGUCAGAGGGCGUGUGUGUGCGUGUGUGUUUGCAUGUGUGUGUUCCAGUUGUUCUCUCUCUCACCUUUGACCUGUGCAGGGGGACCUAUCUGAUAAAAGCAGUUCAGCAGACAUCUAGAGGCAUGUGUGUUUCUGGUGUGUGUGUGAGGAUGUCUCUGUAGCACAGGACAUCUACCAUAUUUAAAUGUCUGUCUAGUUUGUGCAAGAGCCUCCCUUUCUUAGUCCUGCAUUUAGUCCUGGACAUGUAUCCAUUGCGCACAUGUGUGUGUGUGUGUGUGUGUGUGUGUGUGUGUGCGUGCAAGUGCUGCAGAGCAGUUUCAUCUGCAUUCAGUUUUUGUAUUUGGAAAAAAAAGAAGCAAAACCACAAAGAAAGAGAACUAGUGAACUGAAACUUUUGAUGGCCUCCUAGAUCGAAUGUGCCACCCCCACACACACAGACACACACACACAUGAUUGUGUGGGAACAUCUGAUGUGUGGUUUUCUCAGUUCACAGAGCCAGCUUAUCGCACGCUACAGACAGAAUGAGAACAGAGGCACAUGUGGCAUGAGCCGUUUGCAUGCCUCUUUGCAUAUAUAUAAGCAUGAGUCAGAUAAAGCCUUUUGUGUCAAUGU
ensembl:lncRNA